GUCAUGAUAGUUCUCAGGCGGCACGCAACAGCACUCGCCGCCGCAUGGCUCCCAGUGAGCCAGGGGACCUCCCUCCGGGGGCUAUGAGGCAGGAAGCUAGCCAGCUGGAAGACUGGCGCUCCCUGCCCGUGGCUCCCCCUGCACCGGGGGCCCUGGUUUUUUCUCUCUUUAAAAAAAAGAAAUCAAAGGCAAAUGGAGAUUGUGUAUGCCAUAUUCAGGAAUUUUCCCUGUUCCCUAAGUUCAAUGGGACCCCUGGAGAAUUUAAAGCACAAUUAGACUUACAUCUUAGAAAAUUUUUUCAGAAAUAAUCUAGAAAAGCUGGGCAUGAAAGUACAAAUGCACUUUCCCAGCACUUCAGGAGGCUGAAGCAGGAGGAUCACCAAGAGUUUGAGGCCAGCCAGGGUUACAUAGUAAAUUGAAGACCAGGUUGCACUACAAAGUGAGACCCCCGUGUCAAAAAACAAAAAACAAAACAAACAAACAAAAAAAAAAAAAAGCUAGGAAACUUCCAGAGAUAUUUAGGCCCAAGAAUAUUUAUGUCACAUGAGAUUUCCAGCUUCACACCACCCAAUCAGUCUAUCUUCCCAUUGAGUCCUCCCCUUCAGAACCUUGUCUUCCGGGGGCUGGAGAGAGAUGUAGCUCAGUGGUAGAGCACUUGCCUAGCACACACUGAUGUCUUGUUUCAAAGCCUAGUACUGAAAAACCCUGUAUUUUCUAUGAAAUGACACUUAAACAUGCUCUCAAUGGUUGAUAACACCAAUUGUGUCAUUAUCACAGCAUUGUCUACCUCACAACUACGGCUCUGUGAUUCUCCCACUUAGAGAUCUCCUGCCCUCAUGCUGUUCUCCUUCCCGCCCUUCUCCUGUCCAGUUCUCGGCAUCAAUUUAUUUCUGUUGCUGGUUUUUUUUGUUUUUGCCGUCCUUUAAUAUGGGCUUAUAAUUUGAUUUCUUGCAAACUUGUCUUCUAUUGUUGACCCCACUCACACCUAGUUCUGUCACACAGUCAGACCUUCCUGCUCAAGUGCUCUGCAACUGGCUGAAGGUGGUGCUUGAUGCAUUGCACCCCGUACUGUUCAGCACUCAACACACAAACCAGCACAUGCUGGUGCUGAUUGCCCCAUGACUCAUUACCCUUUCCAUCCAAAAUGAUUUGCUUGAUACUGGUCGUUGUGGGUACUGGCUGUAUCUCCUGAAAGCAAUUAACAAGGAGUGCCAAGCUACCACUAUACUCUCUUUUCCAGCUAGGCCCACAGUCUUACAGCUCAGCUUCUCUGUUUGUCACUGGGGGAUAAGACUAUUGGAUUCCCCAUCUGCUAAGACAACUUAGUGGUAUUUUGCCUUGAACGUCUCGUGUUACCUCCUACCCAGAUGCAUCCUCCCUCCUGGAAAUUUGGAGGGUGUCUGGGUGGGGAGCUGUUGAAGACUAUACCUAUGCAAUACUAAUGGCUGCAGCUCAAAACACUGAAGCUUGUUUCCCCACCGCCUUUCCUAGCCCAUGCGUGGGUAUGGACCAGGUCCUAGCGCCCUCAAGUAAGUUAUGCACUUGUCAUAAGAAACUGAGCAAUGUUCAGUUGAGUUCUAGAAAUUGCUAAGUGUCACUGAUUCUAACUGUUCUGUCACAUGACAACCUGGCCACUCAGACUGAACCCCUUACUAACUCUGUAAGUCUUUCCCUCUCUUGUCCAGAUGGAAAAGAUGAAUGAACCCGUCAGUUCUACUCUCAGAAACUGAACAGCACUGGAGUUCUCCUAUAGUAUUAUUAAAUAUGGACUCAUACGGCCCCAAAAGGCAAAAGUUCUCCUGCUGUGCGUCUUCAAUUUUUUUCUUAAUGCCAGAAGAAAGCUACUUACUUCAUGAAAUUAUCCGCUAAAAAUAAACUUACUACAAAGAGGAAAAGAAAUCCUAAAUCCCAGGCCUGCAGACAGCUCACCAAGAGAAUGUUGCAGACUCAGCACUCUAGUUCUUGCACUGGGCCCUGUCCUACUUCCGGCCCACGCUCGAGUUUAAGACAUUCUGUAGUUAAGGAUAUGCCAUCUGGAAAACAUUCGACAAUGUCAAGCUCUUCAUGAAUAAACGAAUGAAAGAGUUAACCUAAA